GACGAACGCUGGCGGCGUGCCUAAUACAUGCAAGUCGAACGCUGAGGGAGGAGCUUGCUUCUCUGGAUGAGUUGCGAACGGGUGAGUAACGCGUAUGUAACCUGCCUGGUAGCGGGGGAUAACUAUUGGAAACGAUAGCUAAUACCGCAUAAUAGCAGUUGUUGCAUGAUAACUGUUUGAAAGGUGCAAUUGCGCCACUACCAGAUGGACCUGCGUUGUAUUAGCUAGUUGGUGGUGUAACGGCUCAACAAGGCGACGAUUCAUAGCCGACCUGAGAGGGGUAACGGGCAAACUGGGACUGGAGCACGGGCCAGGACUCUACGGGAGGGAGCAGGAGGGGAUCUUCCGGAAUGGGCGGAAGGCUGACCGGGGAACGCCGCGUGAGGGAAGGAGGUUUUCGGGUCGUUAAGAUCUGGUGUAUGGGAAGAAAGAGUGUGGGAGUGGAAAGUGCACACUGUGACGGUAUCUUACCAGAAAGCGACGGCUAACUACGUG
rnacentral:rRNA from 1 species